UACGAGGGGGGCUAGCGUUGUUCGGAAUCACUGGGCGUAAAGCGUGCGCAGGCGGCUUCUCAAGUCAGGGGUGAAAGCCCAGAGCUCAACUCUGGAAUUGCCUUUGAGACUGAGUGGCUUGAGUACGAGAGAGGUGAGUGGAAUUCCCAGUGUAGAGGUGAAAUUCGUAGAUAUUGGGAAGAACACCGGUGGCGAAGGCGGCUCACUGGCUCGUAACUGACGCUCAUGCACGACAGCGUGGGGAUCAAACAGG
rnacentral:rRNA from 1 species